rnacentral:rRNA from 1 species
UACAGGGGGGGCAAGCGUUGUUCGGAAUUACUGGGCGUAAAGGGUCAGUAGGCGGCCAACUAAGUCACACGUGAAAUCCCCAGGCUUAACCUGGGAACUGCGUGUGAUACUGGAUGGCUUGAAUUCGGGAGAGGGAUGCAGAAUUCCAGGUGUAGCGGUGAAAUGCGUAGAUAUCUGGAGGAAUACCGGUGGCGAAGGCGGCAUCCUGGACCGACAUUGACGCUGAACGGCGAAAGCUAGGGGAGCAAACGGG